rnacentral:rRNA from 1 species
GCUCAGAAGCAGCCAUCCUUUAAACAACGCGUAAUAGCGGACCGGCCGAGAAAAAUGGCUUUGAAGAUAAACUGGGCUCAAACCGAGAGCCGAUACCCAAGAGGAUUAUCGAAAGAUAAUUUUGGUAGGAGGGUGAACUUGCGGGGCAGAAGCAUGGCCGUGAGGUCAUGUGGACCUGCAAGUUAUAAAUAUCCUGGUGUUAGUAACAGCAUAUCCAGGUGAGAAUCUUGGACGUCGAAUGCACACGGGUUUCUCGGCAAUGUUUGUCAGCUGAGAGUUAGGCGAUCCUAAGGUUGACGGUAAUUCCAGUCAACCAAAAGGGAAAGCGGUUAAUACUCCGCUCCCAUAUGGGUAGGCGUGGUAACACAAGCCACACUUAUGACGCCUUUGGGUAGACCGGCUUGUUAACUACUAUAGGCCUGCAGAGACUCAUGAUGAGGAGAAGCAGGCUAAAUGUAUAUCGGUUGAUCCCAGGGGCCCAUGAAAAGUAAGCGUGGAACGAUCCCAUGUGACCGUACCUAGAACCAGUACAGGUGUUGCUGGCUGAAAAAGCCAAGACGUGUCAGGAGAACUUAGGUUAGGGAACUCGGCAAGAUAGCCCCGUACCUUCGGUAUAAGGGGUGCCUGAAGUCGCGAGACUACAGGUCGCAGUAACAAGGGGAGGCCGACUGUUUAUCAAAAACACAGAUCAUAGCAAGGUCGUAAGGCCAUGUACUAUGGUCGACGCCUGCUCACUACCGGUACGUGAAACCCCACUUCAAUGGGACUAAGCGCCGGCAAAGAGCGGGGGUAACUCUGACCCUCAACAAAGGGUGUGUUUGGAUGAACAGAAGCUAAAAGUGGCGCCAAAGUAUUACGCAAAUGGCCUAUAGGGGGUCGUUAAAUUCGGCUGUAUGCUGGAAACCCAGAGCCAACAGGUCCAUAAGCCAGCGCGGCGAAUGGAAAAAUCCUGGAGGCAAUGAGGGCAAUCAGCAGGAAACUUCAGCAAAUGCAGGAGGAUCCUCAGAGACUAUACGCCGAACAUCCGCAGUUGCGGAUGAUGAUAUAGUCCGACACUCCAAGUAAUUGGAGAUUUUUUAACAAAUAGCUUAAGGUAGCGUAAUACCUCGCCGCUUAAUUGGCGGCUUAGGAAAGAAUUCUUGCAAAUGCAAAUAUUGAUAGAAUGAGCUCUUUCCGCCGAUGCAUGAAUGGCGUAACGAGCCUCCUACUGUCCCAACCUAGGACCUGGUGAACUCACUACACUGUGAAUAUGCAGUGUACUUCCAGUGGGAAACGAAGACCCCGUGGAGCUUUACUAUAGUCUGCACUUGUGGUAUUUUGAAUGAUGCGCAGCGUAAUUGGGAGCCGU